UACGUAGGGUGCGAGCGUUGUCCGGAAUUAUUGGGCGUAAAGAGCUUGUAGGCGGUUUGUCGCGUCUGCUGUGAAAAUCCGGGGCUCAACCCCGGACUUGCAGUGGGUACGGGCAGACUGGAGUGUGGUAGGGGAGACUGGAAUUCCUGGUGUAGCGGUGGAAUGCGCAGAUAUCAGGAGGAAUACCGGUGGCGAAGGCGGCAUCCUGGACCGACAUUGACGCUGAUGAGCGAAAGCUAGGGGAGCAAACGGG
rnacentral:rRNA from 1 species